rnacentral:SRP_RNA from 1 species
GCUGGGUGCGGUGGCGCGUGCCUGCAGUCCCAGCUACUCGGGAGGCUGAGGCUGGAGGACCGCUUGAGCCCAGGAGUUCGGGGCUGUAGUGCGCUAUGCCAAUCAGGUGACCGCACUAAGUUCGGCAUCAAUAUGGUGACCUCCCGGGAGCAGGAAACCACCAGGUUGCCUAAGGAGGGAUGAACCGGCCCAGGUUGGAAAUGGAGCAGGUCAAAACUCCUGUGCUGAUCAGUAGUGGGAUCGCGCCUGUGAAUAGCCACUGCACUCCAGCCUGGGCAACAUAGUGAGACCCCGUCUCU